rnacentral:rRNA from 1 species
CCUACGGGAGGCAGCAGUGAGGAAUAUUGGUCAAUGGGCGCGAGCCUGAACCAGCCAAGUAGCGUGAAGGAUGACUGCCCUACGGGUUGUAAACUUCUUUUAUAAAGGAAUAAAGUGAGGCACGUGUGCCUUUUUGUAUGUACUUUAUGAAUAAGGAUCGGCUAACUCCGUGCCAGCCGCCGCGGUAAUACGGAGGAGCCGAGCGUUAUCCGGAUUUAUUGGGUUUAAGGGGUGCGCAGUCGGAUUUUUAGGUCAGGGGGAAAAUCGUGGGGCUCACCCCCAUAGAGCCGUUGAAACUGGGGAUCUAGAGUGCGCGAGAGGUAUGCGGAAUGCGUGGUGUAGCGGUGAAAUGCAUAGAUAUCACGAAGAACCCCGAUUGCGAAGGCAGCAUACCGGUGCACAACUGACGCUCAGGCACGAAAGCGUGGGUAUCGAACAGGAUUAGAUACCCGUGUAGUC